UGGGGAAUAUUCCGCAAUGGACGCAAGUCUGACGGAGCAACGCCGCGUGAGUGAUGAAGGCCUUUGGGUCGUAAAACUCUGUCUUCAGGGAAGAACCCUUAGCAGUUGAAUAAGCUGUUAAGCUGACGGUACCUGAGGAGGAAGCCCCGGCUAACUACGUGCCAGCAGCCGCGGUAAUACGUAGGGGGCGAGCGUUGUCCGGAAUCAUUGGGCGUAAAGCGCGCGUAGGCGGUUAUUUAAGUCAGACGUGAAAAACCUGGGCUUAACCCAGGUCUUGCGUUUGAAACUGGAUAGCUUGAGGGCAGGAGAGGAUAGUGGAAUUCCUAGUGUAGCGGUGAAAUGCGUAGAUAUUAGGAGGAACACCAGUGGCGAAGGCGACUAUCUGGCCUGUACCUGACGCUGAGGUGCGAAAGCUGGGGGAGCGAACGGG
rnacentral:rRNA from 1 species